ACUGGUCACAGCAUGGACAACACACUGUUCUGACAGACCAUACAACCAAACCGUCCUCACACCCCAAGUCUUCCAACACAGGUUCUUAGGAGGAUAGACAACUUCCGUGAUGGUGAGAAGGACUCCAGCGCCCAUUCAGUCCAUCCCUCCCCCUCCUGAUGGGGUCUUCUAGAGAUGAUCUAGUUAGAUUAUAUUAGGUUGUCCCUCCACCUCCUGAUGGGGUCUUUUAGAGAUGAUCUAGUUAGAUUAUAUUAGGUUGUCCCUCCUGAUGGUGUCUUCUAGAGAUGAUCUAGUUAGAUUAUAUUAGGUUGUCCCUCCUGAUGGGGUCUUUUAGAGAUGAUCUAGUUAGAUUAUAUUAGGUUGUCCCUCCUGAUGGGGUCUUCUAGAGAUGAUCUAGUUAGAUUAUAUUAGGUUGUCCCUCCUGAUGGGGUCUUCUAGAGAUGAUCUAGUUAGAUUAUAUUAGGUUGUCCCUCCCCCUCCUGAUGGGGUCUUCUAGAGAUGAUCUAGUUAGAUUAUAUUAGGUUGUCCCUCCUGAUGGGGUCUUUUAGAGAUGAUCUAGUUAGAUUAUAUUAGGUUGUCCCUCCUGAUGGGGUCUUCUAGAGAUGAUCUAGUUAGAUUAUAUUAGGUUGUCCCUCCUGAUGGGGUCUUCUAGAGAUGAUCUAGUUAGAUUAUAUUAGGUUGUCCCUCCUGAUGGUGUCUUCUAGAGAUGAUCUAGUUAGAUUAUAUUAGGUUGUCCCUCCUGAUGGGGUCUUCUAGAGAUGAUCUAGUUAGAUUAUAUUAGGUUGUCCCUCCCCCCCCUGAUGGGGUCUUCUAGAGAUGAUCUAGUUAGAUUAUAUUAGGUUGUCUCUCCUGAUGGGGUCUUUUAGAGAUGAUCUAGUUAGAUUAUAUUAGGUUGUCUCUCCUGAUGGGGUCUUUUAGAGAUGAUCUAGUUAGAUUAUAUUAGGUUGUCCCUCCUGAUGGGGUCUUCUAGAGAUGAUCUAGUUAGAUUAUAUUAGGUUGUCCCUCCCCCUCCUGAUGGGGUCUUCUAGAGAUGAUCUAGUUAGAUUAUAUUAGGUUGUCCCUCCUGAUGGGGUCUUCUAGAGAUGAUCUAGUUAGAUUAUAUUAGGUUGUCCCUCCUGAUGGGGUCUUCUAGAGAUGAUCUAGUUAGAUUAUAUUAGGUUGUCCCUCCUGAUGGGGUCUUCUAGAGAUGAUCUAGUUAGAUUAUAUUAGGUUGUCCCUCCUGAUGGGGUCUUCUAGAGAUGAUCUAGUUAGAUUAUAUUAGGU